GCAGGGUUGGCACAGUGGUGAGAGCACUCGUCUCCCACCAAUGUGGCCUGGGGUUCAAAUCUCAGAUACGGCG